CCCUUAGAUGUUCUGGGCAGCACGCGCGCUACAAUGGUCUUCGCAAACGGAUGCAUUCUCGAAGGAGAAUGCCAAUCUUGGAAUCUAUGUCUUGGUCGGGACAGUUGCUUGCAAUUUUUCGACUCGAACCAGGAAUUCCUUGUAAUCGUGAUUCAUCACAUCACGAUGAAUACGUCCCUGCCCUUUGUACACACCGCCCGUCGCUCCUACCGAUCGAAGAGUUAGGUGAAUUGUUUUGAUCGAUAAGAUUUGACUAUGGCCAACUCUCGUUGUGAAAUUCUGUGAAUCUGACUGUUUAGAGGAAGGAAAAGUCGUAACA
rnacentral:rRNA from 1 species